AUGGACUUAAAAUACCCUAAAAGGCAAAGUCUGAAAGAGAUGGGAAUAUCAGACCACCUGACCUGCCUCUUGAGGAAUCUGUAUGCAGGUCAGGAAGCAACAGUUAGAACUGGACAUGGAACAACAGACUGGUUCCAAAUAGGAAAAGGAGUAUGUCAAGGCUGUAUAUUGUCACCCUGCUUAUUUAACUUCUAUGCAGAGUACAUCAUGAGAAAUUCUGGACUGGAAGAAACACAAGCUGGAAUCAAGAUUGCUGGGAGAAAUAUCAAUCACCUCAGAUAUGCAGACAACACCACCCUUAUGGCAGAAAGUGAAGAGGCACUAAAAAGCCUCUUGAUGAAACUGAAAGUGGAGACUGAAAAAAUUGGCUUAAAGCUCAACAUUCAGAAAAUGAAGAUCAUGGCAUUCGGUCCCAUCACUUCAUGGGAAAUAGAUGGGGAAACAGUGGAAACAGUGUCAGAUUUUAUUUGGGGGGGCUCCGAAAUCACUGCAGAUGGUGACUGCAGCCAUGAAAUUAAAAGACGCUUACUCCUUGGAAGAAAAGUUAUGACCAACCUACAUAGCAUAUUCGAAAGCAGAGACAUUACUUUGCCAACUAAGGUCCAUCUAGUCAAGGCUAUGGUUUUUCCUGUGGUCAUAUAUGGAUGUGAGAGUUGGACUGUGAAGAAGGCAGAGCGCAGAAGAAUUGAUGCUUUUGAACUGUGGUGUUGGAGAAGGCUCUUGAGAGUCCCUUGGACUGCAAGGAGAUCCAACCAGUCCAUUCUGAAGGAGAUCAACCCUGGGAUUUCUUUGGAAGGAAUGAUGCUAAAGCUGAGGCUCCAGUACUUUGGCCACCUCAUGCGAAGAGCUGACUCAUUGGAAAAGACUCUGAUGCUGGGAGAGAUUGGGGGCAGGAGGAGAAGGGGACGAUCGAGGAUGAGAUGGCUGGAUCGCAUCACGGACUCGAUGGACGUAAGCCUGAGUGAACUCUGGGAGUUGGUAACGGACAGGGAGGCCUGGCAUGCUGCAAUUCAUGGGGUCGCAAAGAGUUGGACACGACUAAGCCACUGA
rnacentral:lncRNA from 1 species